CCUUACAAAAGUACAUAAGACCUUCAUUGGACAAGGGUGCUGAGUUAAUUACUAGUGAUGAACUUGUCUCUAGUGGCAUCGAAUGGGAACCCCAGGAGAGUGACCUUCAAGAUUCUUCAGAGCUUUCACCAGAAGAUGUUAUUAGAUUUGGCGAUAAGCACAAGCUCCAGGCUUUGGAAGAAACUGUGAUUGGAAGGUGUCACAGUCAAUGCCACAAAGAACAGACAUUAUUUGUCAACUGGACAUGAGCCCAGCAGAUCAGCAGGUCUUUUUAGAUCAUAUGGGUCACGAAAAAAACAUCAACAGAGAUAAUUACCAAUGUCCAAUUGAACUCAGGGAGGUCAAAGUAAUGGGACGCAUGUUGGGAGAUCUUGAAAAUGUACCAGAACCAGCAAUGGAUUUAACCACUAUACAAACAGUUGAGGCAAGUGCAACUGAAACUAAAGAGAUUGGUAAAAAUGAAGAACUUCAGUCAUAAACAAAUCUAACAUGUAAUCCUGUUACAUUGAUUGUAGAGGGCAAGAAAUCUGUAUCAGUGGCCUGGUCUGCUGAAGACACAAAUAUGUUGAGAGACCAUUUUUGCCAUAUUUAAGUACUCACCUAGAGGCUGCGGAU